rnacentral:rRNA from 1 species
AUACGUAGGGGGCAAGCGUUGUCCGGAAUUAUUGGGCGUAAAGCGCGCGCAGGCGGUUCUUUAAGUCUGGUGUUUAAACCCGAGGCUCAACUUCGGGACGCACUGGAAACUGGGGAACUUGAGUGCAGAAGAGGAGAGUGGAAUUCCACGUGUAGCGGUGAAAUGCGUAGAUAUGUGGAGGAACACCAGUGGCGAAGGCGACUCUCUGGGCUGUAACUGACGCUGAGGCGCGAAAGCGUGGGGAGCGAACAGGAUUAGAUACCCUGGUAGUCCACGCCGUAAACGAUGAAUGCUAGGUGUUAGGGGUUUCGAUACCCUUGGUGCCGAAGUUAACACAUUAAGCGUUCCGCCUGGGGAGUACGGUCGCAAGGCUGAA